UCCCUGCCUACUGGGGGCCUUCUGAAGGCACUCAGUAGGAAAUUCUGUGGAUUCUGAUGGCAAAUGUUCCGACUUCCGAAGUGUUAAUGCUUCUAACUUUAUAAUGCAAGUUUCCCUGCAGGUUAUCUUUAAAAUGGACAUGUUGACACAACACUUUUGAGUAGAUGAAGACAGCAUGAUGGCUCCACUUAUGCCAAGGAACAAGAUGAGUGUUCUUACGUUAAUCCCCUCCAAAGUCUAACACUAUCAACUGGAGGUACCAAGAUGGAACCGCUCAGAUGAAUUCAGCAAUAAAAAUAUUAAAAAGUGUUCAGAAAGGACAAAACAGCUGAAAAGUUGUGUUUUGGGGAUUGCAAGGAGAAAUUAAUUCUCAAUAUAGAUAGCUCUUUGAGAGCACGCCUACCCUGUGAUAUGGAAGACAACAGAGGAAAAAACAGGAGCUGGUAGUGACCUGAACUGGAAGUCCACCAAGUCCUGUGUGAAGGUCCUUGAUGAAGCCUGGUAGCAUGGCAGACGCAUUUGUAGGGAAUCAGAACAAAUGUCAACCGUUCAGCUGCAAGAGGAGGGCUGGAACAGGCAGAUUUCUGGAGGUAAUACUACAGAAACCAACCUGGGUCCAGCUGUCUCCCAGCCUCCCUCCCAUACAAACAAUUUCAAGGGAGGUGAGGAUUAUAUGACAAAUUCAAUUAGCGAUGAGCCUGAGGGGGAUGAGGUUGUCAAAACAGAUGAUUAAAAUGAAUGCAGAUUGAAGCUGAAGGAAGUAACCAAUGUUAAGUCAUGCCCACAAGAAGGAAAAAUAACGUGUUAGAAGCCCGAAGGUAAAGCGGACUCAUUUGUUUUUUCAUUGUGUUUCUACAGUUUCUCAUUUUCUUUCCCCUCCUGCUCUUCAUAAUGCUACUGCUUGGCUACACAUUAAAUGCUUUGACAGUCACACAGAAUCAUCUAGCAUUUCCAUGGCAGUGAAACACUAAAACAAACAGUUUAUUUCUCAUAAAAUCUGUAAAGAAAACAAACAUUUUAUAGGGCUCCAGUUCCCUCUCCCUUUUCCUCCCCUCUAGCCCCCCAAACGAUUGCCAAUGUAAAAGACUUGAGAGAAAAUAGACCCUAAGUAAACAGAAAUGUGAGUGUUAUUUACUAUCCAUGGGUUAUGUGCCAAGGAGAUAUCAACCAAACAGACAUUAGGAAAAUAUUUAUCCAAGUAUUAAUAUAUUAUUUACACAUGACACAUUGCACAUCAUUAUUUAGCUGGGCUGAUAACACAGAAGCUUUACUAACAGCAUAUUUCUUCCUGUGCUUAAAAGUCUUUAAAGCAUUUCUAAGCCUAGCAGUAAAUCACAGCCUGGUUUGCAGAUAUGCUGUGUAUACACACGUAUAUUCCACUUCAGACCUUCUAAUGACAUGGCAGAACAUCCAUAUCUUUUCAUCCUCCGUACUGCCAUGUUAUUUUUGUUAAUAUAUAAGAAAAAGCAAAACAAUUGUGGUCUAUCACAUCCUAAAUUCCUACUUAAAUUCCCAGCACUGCUUAAUGAGGGGACUGAUUGGGUGAUGAUGAGAUAAUAUCAGAACUGAAACAAAUCUGAAAUGACUCCUAAACAAAUCAAGAAAACCUUUAAAAUGUCUAAAGAAAUGUCUAAAGCACUCUAUUGUUCCAGGACUGAGGGGUGAUGGGCUUAUCUUGGUGAUCUGUCAAUAUAUCUGUCCCCAGAACUAACCCUAAGCAUUCUCAUAUUUGGUCUUAUUAUUAUUUUCCUAAGUUUAGAAGAUAAAAAUCUCGGGAUAGUUCCCAUCUGCCUAAGGAGUUGACCUUCUGGAUGUUCAAACUGCUGUCGUGUAAUAAAAACUAGUCCUAAAUGCAGGAAUUAAAGGGGACGUUAUCAUAUUGAUUGGAAAUAAUAUUAAUAUGCAAAUGAUUAGAGGCCUGGGUUUCUUAAGUGUUUGGUCAGUAUAAAAAACCUGGGACUCAUUGCACAGAGGACAGCAUGGAUUGGGCUCAGGAGGGGAGGUAGAAGAAGCAGAAGGCAGGGACAAGGACAGAUUAGAGAAGGGGACUCUAAGUUUUCUCAUAUCAGGCUUCACACCAGCUCCAGCAGGACUUUGAGGCCCUUGUGGUGCCCUUUUUCAGAAGCAAGCCUAGGGGGAAGACAAAGGUGUGGAUGCAGGGAGUUCCGUAACUCAGCUCUGAUCCAAAACACCUCUUUGUGUCUCCCAAGGAAGUCAUUUUCUCUAAGUCUUCACAAAACAUUAAAGGUCUCCAGAUCUUGCCAUGCCAAUUUUAUUAGGAAAGCUGGAGCCUGGUGAGCUUUAGUAACACGGCCAGAGUCAGUGACACCCUCAGGAACAGAAAUUGUGUUGUGGCUCCUCCUGUCCUGCCUGAACUCCCAGGCCUUCAUUAAAGAGCAGGGGCUGUCUCUGCAGCUACAGAUUUCUGCAAGGAUCCCCAGGGACUCGUAAAGGUUAACGCUGCCUUUAAAAUGACUUCUUAGGCAUGCGAAGGCAUAAAGCUAAGACUUCCAUAGAUAAGUUGUAACUUACAGCUCCAGCACAUGCCUGCCUACUAAUCUAUCUUCUCACUGAGAAAUGUCACAAGACAUUGAAAUCAUUCUCUUUAUAACUGCAAGCUCCACGGGCCAGUCAGUCCAACGGCAUCCCUCUUUCACUUUGGGAUUUGUUAUGCUCUUUAACAAAGGGUUGACUUCAAAAUGCUCUAAUAAUUUAUCAUGUUAAGAACAGAAAUAAAGAAGAUAAUUGUUAAGGCAGUAAGAUUUUCCCCACACACGCUUAAAGGUUGGAAAUCAGCAUCCUGCAACCUCUCUGUGCCUUUGGCUGAUGACAUGUGUAAUCGCUUGCAUCUGGGACCUAAUUUUCCAGCUCUUGAAUCAAACAGGAAACUUCAAAUGCCCAAGACCACUCAAGUGAGUGAAUUAUUCCAAUUACACGUACGACGAUUGGUUUGCAGUUUGCCA